CACACUAUCAUUAACUGAAUCCAUAGGUUAAUGAGGCGAACCGGGGGAACUGAAACAUCUAAGUACCCCGAGGAAAAGAAAUCAACCGAGAUUCCCCCAGUAGCGGCGAGCGAACGGGGAGGAGCCCAGAGCCUGAAUCAGUGUGUGUGUUAGUGGAAGCGUCUGGAAAGGCGUGCGAUACAGGGUGACAGCCCCGUACACAAAAAUGCACAUAUUGUGAGCUCGAUGAGUAGGGCGGGACACGUGGUAUCCUGUCUGAAUAUGGGGGGACCAUCCUCCAAGGCUAAAUACUCCUGACUGACCGAUAGUGAACCAGUACCGUGAGGGAAAGGCGAAAAGAACCCCGGCGAGGGGAGUGAAAAAGAACCUGAAACCGUGUACGUACAAGCAGUGGGAGCCUCUUUAUGGGGUGACUGCGUACCUUUUGUAUAAUGGGUCAGCGACUUAUAUUCUGUAGCAAGGUUAACCGAAUAGGGGAGCCGAAGGGAAACCGAGUCUUAACUGGGCGUUAAGUUGCAGGGUAUAGACCCGAAACCCGGUGAUCUAGCCAUGGGCAGGUUGAAGGUUGGGUAACACUAACUGGAGGACCGAACCGACUAAUGUUGAAAAAUUAGCGGAUGACUUGUGGCUGGGGGUGAAAGGCCAAUCAAACCGGGAGAUAGCUGGUUCUCCCCGAAAGCUAUUUAGGUAGCGCCUCGUGAAUUCAUCUCCGGGGGUAGAGCACUGUUUCGGCAAGGGGGUCAUCCCGACUUACCAACCCGAUGCAAACUGCGAAUACCGGAGAAUGUUAUCACGGGAGACACACGGCGGGUGCUAACGUCCGUCGUGAAGAGGGAAACAACCCAGACCGCCAGCUAAGGUCCCAAAGUCAUGGUUAAGUGGGAAACGAUGUGGGAAGGCCCAGACAGCCAGGAUGUUGGCUUAGAAGCAGCCAUCAUUUAAAGAAAGCGUAAUAGCUCACUGGUCGAGUCGGCCUGCGCGGAAGAUGUAACGGGGCUAAACCAUGCACCGAAGCUGCGGCAGCGACACUAUGUGUUGUUGGGUAGGGGAGCGUUCUGUAAGCCUGUGAAGGUGGCCUGUGAGGGUUGCUGGAGGUAUCAGAAGUGCGAAUGCUGACAUAAGUAACGAUAAAGCGGGUGAAAAGCCCGCUCGCCGGAAGACCAAGGGUUCCUGUCCAACGUUAAUCGGGGCAGGGUGAGUCGACCCCUAAGGCGAGGCCGAAAGGCGUAGUCGAUGGGAAACAGGUUAAUAUUCCUGUACUUGGUGUUACUGCGAAGGGGGGACGGAGAAGGCUAUGUUGGCCGGGCGACGGUUGUCCCGGUUUAAGCGUGUAGGCUGGUUUUCCAGGCAAAUCCGGAAAACCAAGGCUGAGGCGUGAUGACGAGGCACUACGGUGCUGAAGCGACAAAUGCCCUGCUUCCAGGAAAAGCCUCUAAGCAUCAGGUAACAUCAAAUCGUACCCCAAACCGACACAGGUGGUCAGGUAGAGAAUACCAAGGCGCUUGAGAGAACUCGGGUGAAGGAACUAGGCAAAAUGGUGCCGUAACUUCGGGAGAAGGCACGCUGAUAUGUAGGUGAAGCGACUUGCUCGUGGAGCUGAAAUCAGUCGAAGAUACCAGCUGGCUGCAACUGUUUAUUAAAAACACAGCACUGUGCAAACACGAAAGUGGACGUAUACGGUGUGACGCCUGCCCGGUGCCGGAAGGUUAAUUGAUGGGGUUAGCGGUAACGCGAAGCUCUUGAUCGAAGCCCCGGUAAACGGCGGCCGUAACUAUAACGGUCCUAAGGUAGCGAAAUUCCUUGUCGGGUAAGUUCCGACCUGCACGAAUGGCGUAAUGAUGGCCAGGCUGUCUCCACCCGAGACUCAGUGAAAUUGAACUCGCUGUGAAGAUGCAGUGUACCCGCGGCAAGACGGAAAGACCCCGUGAACCUUUACUAUAGCUUGACACUGAACAUUGAGCCUUGAUGUGUAGGAUAGGUGGGAGGCUUUGAAGUGUGGACGCCAGUCUGCAUGGAGCCGACCUUGAAAUACCACCCUUUAAUGUUUGAUGUUCUAACGUUGGCCCGUAAUCCGGGUUGCGGACAGUGUCUGGUGGGUAGUUUGACUGGGGCGGUCUCCUCCUAAAGAGUAACGGAGGAGCACGAAGGUUGGCUAAUCCUGGUCGGACAUCAGGAGGUUAGUGCAAUGGCAUAAGCCAGCUUGACUGCGAGCGUGACGGCGCGAGCAGGUGCGAAAGCAGGUCAUAGUGAUCCGGUGGUUCUGAAUGGAAGGGCCAUCGCUCAACGGAUAAAAGGUACUCCGGGGAUAACAGGCUGAUACCGCCCAAGAGUUCAUAUCGACGGCGGUGUUUGGCACCUCGAUGUCGGCUCAUCACAUCCUGGGGCUGAAGUAGGUCCCAAGGGUAUGGCUGUUCGCCAUUUAAAGUGGUACGCGAGCUGGGUUUAGAACGUCGUGAGACAGUUCGGUCCCUAUCUGCCGUGGGCGCUGGAGAACUGAGGGGGGCUGCUCCUAGUACGAGAGGACCGGAGUGGACGCAUCACUGGUGUUCGGGUUGUCAUGCCAAUGGCACUGCCCGGUAGCUAAAUGCGGAAGAGAUAAGUGCUGAAAGCAUCUAAGCACGAAACUUGCCCCGAGAUGAGUUCUCCCUGAGACUUAGAGUCUCCUGAAGGAACGUUGAAGACGACGACGUUGAUAGGCCGGGUGUGUAAGCGCAGCGAUGCGUUGAGCUAACCGGUACUAAUGAACCGUGAGGCUUAACCUU
rnacentral:rRNA from 2 species